GGCAAUAUGAGGCUGCAACACGACAAGACUGCUUUCGUUUCUCUACAGUGCUCUACACGCGCGAAAAGUCCUACAAAGCAAAACGACUUCAGCAAUCAAGUACAAUUAUGUCCUUGACGUUUAAAUAAAAAAAUCGGUUUUCAUUCCAGGUCCUUUUACACAUGGGAUACCUGAAAAUAACAACGGGCAAAUUUGUUACAUAGAGUGGCCAGGAUGAAGAGAGAACUGAUUCAAUGGACUUGAAGAAAUGCAGAUAUGUGGAUCCCGCAGGAAAAAAAGAGAGGAAGAGAGAAGCUGCUUAGAAUUUCACCUCCGGAUUCGUAACGUUUCGGAAUCGCCUCUACUGUGGAAUAUCUGUAGGCUGCAUGACUUAGACCUCGGCCGAUGGCACAGGACUUUUGGCCAAGCAGAGAACCCCAUGGUCAGACAGAUGGCCCUAGCAGUAAGUAACAUAUUGUAAGCUAUUUUAUAUUAUAUCAUAUGUUAUCUCUAUCCUAUCUCUCUGCUGUGCCUGGAGCCGUUACAAAAUGGCGUCCGCUCUCUACCUCCAGCUCCCUGCAGCUCUCCUAUCCAUUUUGUGUUCCUCUGCCAAAGUAGUCAGAUAGCAGGAUGAGAGGAGAGGGAGAGAGAGAGGGAGAGUUCAAGUGAAGGGAUAGGUUAGGCUAGAAAGGACGUAGAAAAGAAGAGGGCACUAGUCCAGAGGUUACUGGGGGGGGGAGAGGGGUGUUAUUGUACAGCGACUGGAAGCUAUACAGAAUCUGGUCUUUCUUAUUGGAGGUUUAAUUGUUGCUGACUGACUGACUGACUGCAUACAAACAAGAAGCCUUGCAGGCAGCGCUUCUGGACCCUUCCCAGCUCCUCUUCUCAAAGAGCUGACCUUGGGCAGACGCCAUAAACUGUUAUUUUCUACUGGCCCAAAAUGUGCUGCAGCCUGCAGCUGCACAGACCUAUGCCCCCCCACCCCAGCCCCCUCUGUACCUCGCCCCGACUCCCCCAGCAAGCCUGUGCCUGGCCUGGCCCGUAACACAACCUUCCUGUCAUGCUUUCAGUGCAGAAGAGCAGGAGCAGGGGCCGCUCUAGCUCUAUCCAAUGCCCCUAAUCGUUUCCCCUAUGCCCUAGCUGUAGCUGCAGGCCCCAGCCCUAGCUCCAACCUCAACCUCAGCCCCAGUUCCAGCCCUAUGCCCCAUACCCCAUCCUCAGCCAAGCCCCCAACCCCAGCUCCGAACCUGACCCCAACCUCAGCCCCAGUUCCAGCCCUAUGCCCCAUACACCAUCCUCAGCCAAGCCCCCAACCCCAGCUCCGAACAUGACCCCAACAUCACCCCCAGUUCCAGCCCCAUCCUCAGCCAAGCCCCAAGCCCCAGCUCCAAACUUGGCCCCAACCUCAGACCCAGGCUAUCCUUAGACAGUACUGCCCAUGGCUCUAGAAGUCUGCACAUGCCAGGCAUUCGAUUACACAGGCAUAUGGUGUAUAGAUCCCAUGCUGCUUAGCUUUAAGAUCUAAGGUCAGACCUAAGAUCCCUAAGACCACGGCUAUAGGGAACCACACACCUCCUUAUCUGAUCUCUUUCGCAAUGUGGGAAACAGCUUCAAAGACCCAUGGGGGCCAUAC